rnacentral:rRNA from 1 species
CCCUUAGAGUUUGAUCCUGGCUCAGAGUGAACGCUGGCGGUAGGCCUAACACAUGCAAGUCGAACGGCAGCACAGUAAGAGCUUGCUCUUAUGGGUGGCGAGUGGCGGACGGGUGAGGAAUACAUCGGAAUCUACUUUUUCGUGGGGGAUAACGUAGGGAAACUUACGCUAAUACCGCAUACGACCUUCGGGUGAAAGCAGGGGACCUUCGGGCCUUGCGCGAUUGAAUGAGCCGAUGUCGGAUUAGCUAGUUGGCGGGGUAAAGGCCCACCAAGGCGACGAUCCGUAGCUGGUCUGAGAGGAUGAUCAGCCACACUGGAACUGAGACACGGUCCAGACUCCUACGGGAGGCAGCAGUGGGGAAUAUUGGACAAUGGGCGCAAGCCUGAUCCAGCCAUACCGCGUGGGUGAAGAAGGCCUUCGGGUUGUAAAGCCCUUUUGUUGGGAAAGAAAAGCAGCGGGCUAAUACCUUGCUGUUCUGACGGUACCCAAAGAAUAAGCACCGGCUAACUUCGUGCCAGCAGCCGCGGUAAUACGAAGGGUGCAAGCGUUACUCGGAAUUACUGGGCGUAAAGCGUGCGUAGGUGGUUGUUUAAGUCUGUUGUGAAAGCCCUGGGCUCAACCUGGGAACUGCAGUGGAAACUGGAUGACUAGAGUGUGGUAGAGGGUAGCGGAAUUCCCGGUGUAGCAGUGAAAUGCGUAGAGAUCGGGAGGAACAUCCAUGGCGAAGCAGCUACCUGGACCAACACUGACACUGAGCACGAAAGCGUGGGGAGCAACAGAUAGAUACCCUGGUAGUCACGCCCUAAACGAUGCGACUGGGAUGUGGGUGCACUUUGGCACGCAGUAUCGAAGCUACGC